rfam:Brachypodium distachyon strain Bd21 chromosome 5, whole genome shotgun sequence.
ACCCUCCGGCCAGAGGAGUUUAUCUCCUACUUGCUUGCCGGAUUGGAUAGCGACUAUGAUCCUCUCGUUGAAGUUGUGUCUUCCCGCACCGAUCCGAUGCCCGUGCGUGAUCUCUAUUCCCAUAUGCUCAACACCGAGC